ACGUGAAUAAUCAAUAAUCCAUAGAAAACUUAAUCUUAUACUGUAAUAAUCAAAUGAGAUAUUUAAUACACUAUACGUUUAUUUUUUAGGUGUUGACUAUUGCAUUUCCAGUCCAUGUGAAAAUGAAGGGAAUUGUAUACCUCCUUAUUCUGAGUUUACAUGUGAAUGUAAACCAGGCUACAGUGGGAGAUAUUGUGAAAAUGAGUAUUCCGGUGCAGCCUGUUCUAGUAGUACAGGUUUGACAAUUGGUAUGUUCUUUGUGGGCAUCAUUGUUGGAGCCUUCGGAGUAAUUGGUGGAUUGAUCGGCUACACUAGGAUUAAACAGAAGGCACAAGAGGACAAGAGGAGUACGGAUAGGAAAAAGCAAG